rnacentral:rRNA from 1 species
UACGAAGGGGGCUAGCGUUACUCGGAAUUAUUGGGCGUAAAGCGUGCGUAGGCGGUUAGGUAAGUUAAAAGUGAAAGCCCAGAGCUCAACUCUGGAAUUGCUUUUAAGACUGCUUAGCUAGAGUUUUGGAGAGGAUAGCAGAAUUCCUAGUGUAGAGGUGAAAUUCGUAGAUAUUAGGAGGAAUACCGGAGGCGAAAGCGGUUAUCUGGCCAAAAACUGACGCUGUUGCACGAAAGCGUGGGGAGCAAACAGG